CAGCAGCCGCGGGAAUACGAAGGGGGCUAGCGUUGUUCGGAUUUACUGGGCGUAAAGCGCACGUAGGCGGAUCGAUCAGUCAGGGGUGAAAUCCCAGAGCUCAACUCUGGAACUGCCUUUGAUACUGUCGAUCUGGAGUAUGGAAGAGGUGAGUGGAAUUCUGAGUGUAGAGGUGAAAUCCGUAGAUAUUCGGAGGAACACCAGUGGCGAAGGCGGCUCACUGGUCCAUUACUGACGCUGAGGUGCGAAAGCGUGGGGAGCAAACAGGAUUAGAUACCCCGGUAGUCCCUGUCUCUUAUAC
rnacentral:rRNA from 1 species